GAAUUCAUAGCGAUUUCAGGACGUGCAGAAAUAUCAAAAUGUCUGUGUUUGUAGCCAGCACUUCCCGCCAGAGGAUUUCGAAACUGAUGGGGUUUCCAGGUGGUCGGACGUUAAAGUGAUGCUAUUCCAUUGAUUUGCCCUUUCACUUCAAAGGGGAAGGCUUGCGAUCAGUCAACGUCAAUCAGUGCAGCAGAAAAGAAGUCAAGCUGAGAGUCCGAGCCCAUCUGCAGCAGCAUCAAGCUCAGCACCAGGAACUAUUUUAAUAACCCUGCUACUGAUGACGAUGGACUUAACACCAGCUUUAGUAGUACAGAGCCCAUUGGAUGAAAGCUUUCAGCCGGGAACAAGCUCAACAUCAUCUGACUCGGAAACAAGCCAGGACGGCCAAAGGCAUUUAUGAAAGCACAAAUACCCUCUUGAGAAAACAACAUCACCAAUACACUAAACUGUCUACAAGCCAAGUGCUCCUUAAACUUGUCACACCCUUGUAGUCAGUUCUUUGAGAGGAGUUGUUAGUCUAUACUCUUCUAGCCUAUUCACUCCAUUGUUGGAAGUGAUUGUCUACUCAACAGCACAACUGUGGGUGCUCAUACACAACUAGACUGUCUACAUGUCAAGCCCCCCCGCUCAAACAUUUCACAUGUUAGCAUCCCAUCUCAAAGCCCCAUUAUUGACUCUGAGUGUAACAAAACACAUACCAGUCUACUGUUCCAUGUUUUGUUUACAGAUUAACAUGGUUUAUUUUAUGAUUAUACAUCCUCAUGAUCAGUCGUCAUGUCUUUCCAGGAUACUUACAGUACAAACAAUUAUUCUGCAAGAGGUCAAAGAAGUGGGUGGUGAAGAAAGUGCAGAAGCCCAGAACCCACCACUUCAGGGAGACGCUUAUCCACCUGGUUGUAGAGUGCAGAAAAUAACAGACUGUUGUCAACAAGAAGCCAGACUCACAGCUCCCCAAACCCUGCCAACAUUGCCACAGCGCCAAAGCCUGCUAAACCAGCUGACAUUACCCAACAGUAGAAGAGGUGCACCAGCUGAAGAACAUUCUGGAACCUGCCUGGAACAUUCAACCAACACCCAUAUUCAGUUAGACUGAUGUUUUAGUAUAAUAUAGAAUACCUAGUAUGUUCAACUGCAUUGUAGUACAUAAAUUGCUGCCUCUCAAAAGUUUGUACACACCUACACAUUUUCGACAUUGUAGAAUAAUUGUGAAGACAUAAAACAUGGAAAUAUGUAGUAACCAAAAAAGCGUUUAAAAAAAUCCAAAUAUAUUAUACAUUUGAGAUUCUUCAAAGUAGCCACCCUUUGCCUUGAUGACAGCUUUGCACACUCUUGGCAUUCUCUCAACCAGCUUCAUGAAGAAUGCUUUUCCAACUGUCUUGAUGGAGUUCCCACAUAUGCUGAGCACUUGUUGGCUGCAUUUUCUUCACUCUGCGGUCCAACUCAUCCCAAACCAUCUCAAUUGGGUUGAGGUCGGGUGAUUGUGGAGGCCAGGUCAUCUGAUGCAGCACUCCAUCACUCUCCUUGGUCAAAUAGCCCUACACAGCCUGAGCGCAAAACAGAUGGGAUGGCAUAUCGCUGCAAAAUGCUGUGGUAGCCAUGCUGGUUAAGUGUGCCUUGAAUUCUAAAUAAAUCACAGACCGUGUCACCAGCAAAGCACCACCACACCUCCUCCUUCACGCUUCACGGUGGGAACUACACAUACUACUACAUGAGGUAGUCACCUGGAAUGCAUUUCAAUUAACAGGUGUGCCUUGUUAAAAGUUAAUUUAUGGAAUUUCUUAAUGUGUUUGAUACAGUUGUGUUGUGACAAGGUAGGGGAGGUAUACAGAAGAUAGCCCUAUUUGGUAAAAGAACAAGUCCAUAUGGCAAAGAACAGCUGAAAUAAGCAAAGAGAAACAACAGUCCAUUACUUUAAGACAUGAAGGUCAGUCAAUCUGGAACAUUUCAAGAACUUUGAACGUUUCUUCAAGUGUAGUUGCAAAAACCUUCAAGCGCUGUGAUGAAACUGGCUCUCGUGAGGAAAGGAAUGGAAGACCCAGAGUUACCUCUGCUGCAGUGGAUAAGUUCAUUAGAGUUACCAGCCUCAGAAAUCGCAGCCCAAAUAAAUACUUCCCAGAGUUCCUGUAACAGACACAUCUCAACAUCAACUGUUCAGAGGAGACUGUGAAUCAGGCCUUCAUGGUCGAAUUGCUGCAAAGAAACCAGUACUAAAGGACACCAAUAAGUAGAAGAUACUUGUUUGGGCUAAGAAAUACAAGCAAUGGACAUUAGACCUAUUGAGAUCUGUCCUUUUGGUCUGAUGAGUCCAGAUUUGAGAUUGUUCCAACCUCUUGUGUCUUUGUGAGAUGAGUAGGUGAAUGGAUAAUCUCUGCAUGUGUGGUUCCCCACCUUGAAGCAUGGAGGUGUGGUGGUGCUUUGUUGGUGACACGGUCUGUAAUUUAUUUAGAAUUCAAGGCACACUUAACCAGCAUAGCUACCACAGCAUUUUGCAGCAAUAUGUCAUUCCAUCUGGUUUGCUCUUAGUGGGACUAUCAUUUGUUUUUCAACAGGACAAUGACCCAACACACCUUCAGGCUGUGUAAGGCUAUUUGACCAAGAAGGAGAGUGAUGGAGUGCUGUAUCAGAUGACCUGGCCUUCACAAUCACCCGACCUCAACCCAAUUGAGAUGUUUUGGGAUG